rnacentral:rRNA from 1 species
ACGAACGCUGGCGGCGUGCCUAAUACCUGCAAGUAGAACGCUGAAGGAGGAGCUUGCUUCUCUGGAUGAGUUGCGAACGGGUGAGUAACGCGUAGGUAACCUGCCUGGUAGCGGGGGAUAACUAUUGGAAACGAUAGCUAAUACCGCAUAAUAGUAGAUGUUGCAUGACAUUUGCUUAAAAGGUGCAAUUGCAUCACUACCAGAUGGACCUGCGUUGUAUUAGCUAGUUGGUGGGGUAACGGCUCACCAAGGCGACGAUACAUAGCCGACCUGAGAGGGUGAUCGGCCACACUGGGACUGAGACACGGCCCAGACUCCUACGGGAGGCAGCAGUAGGGAAUCUUCGGCAAUGGACGGAAGUCUGACCGAGCAACGCCGCGUGAGUGAAGAAGGUUUUCGGAUCGUAAAGCUCUGUUGUAAGAGAAGAACGAGUGUGAGAGUGGAAAGUUCACACUGUGACGGUAUCUUACCAGAAAGGGACGGCUAACUACGUG